rnacentral:lncRNA from 1 species
UUCAAGGUAUUUCAUGCCAUCUCAGUUCACUCUCUCAACAUAUACAUUUCACAUCCCAGUAGAGCAUACUUCAUAUAUUAGAAAUGCAGUAGAUAAUGAGCAUGACCACCUUCAUUAUUCACAUAGAAUAGAGUAAUACAGAUAGACAUAGCAAACCACAUUCGAGUAUAAGAUUUACGGCCCUCUUAUGGGCAAGAUUAAAACUUAGCUUCUAGAGGAGUGGGGCUACUGCCUUGCUCGGAGCCUGAGGACGACGCAGUAUCGAACCUUCCGGCACGGCGCCGGAGCUCAGGAAAACGAUAGAGGCGUCAAACUUUUCCCUGCUCGACAGAUACCGUACAACAGCAACGGCAGAGCUCGUAGGGGCUUCCUCAGGGAAGGAGGACGGGAGCUGACACCAGAGGGACGCAAAGACAGCGGCGUCGCUCGCGAAUCUCACUGCGGCGGCAGCGGAUCGAGACCUCGGUGCUUGACAGCAGGUUUCAGGCGAGAAGCUUGCCUUGUUGCUCCAGUUUUACUAAUUGAACGAGAGGAAGAGAUGUGAGCAGCAUGAGUUUUCUUGUGAGAAGAGAGAGAGAGAUUAUUGAAAGUGUGUGUGUGUUUGGAUGGAUCGGUGAGAGAGAGAGAGAUAUAUUUUAAAAAGUGUGUGUGCAUGUGGUGAUUGAAUAUAAGGAGAGAGAGGGAACCGAUAGUGGGAGAGAAAGAGGAAAUGUUGGCUUUAAUAAAGAUAAAAGAUAGAGAGAGAUUUGAUGAUAGAUAUAAAGUAUGUGUGUGCGUG